UAAAAGGAAAAGGGUCAAAAGGAUCACAAACCUAUCGAUCCAUGGUGCCCCUAGGGUCGGACCUCCUCGGCCACGGCGCUAUCACCGCACAGCGGCGGCGGCGGAGUCGGUGAGGAGGGCCUGGCAGCGGCGCCCCUUCUAGUGGUCGGAAAGAUGGCGGUCGGGGAGGAGUCCGUGGAGCUCCCUCUGGUGGCGCAGGAGGAGCAGCGAAGGAGGUCGACCUUGAACGGGUUGGUCCUGCCUUCAUCCCAUUCACCCCCAAAUAUCUCACUUCGCCACCAUGACGAGGACCAUCGAGGCCCGGAUCACACCCCUCUCCCUCCUUAUGCUGAUCUUUGAAUAGAGGUACAGUUCCAUUAAGAUCAAUAAGAUUCCAGAGUGAACUAUCAGCAACUAGGAAACCUGGAGCAAUCGGCAAAGUGGAGCAAGAAGCAAGUAAUACUAAAGAAGCAAACUCAAAUUGGGAUCUCAAGGCUUUUGGCGUUUUCUACCUACGAGUCCAAAAAUAUUUUGUAGAAUUAUUUAUUAUGUCGAUGUGUUAGUUUGGAGUCAAACAUUGUUCUGUAAAUGUUAAUGUUAUAUAUUCAUGCUACUCAAGUAGUGUUUUCAGUUCACACAUAAAUUAGAAUACAAAGUCAGAUAUGUGGGUACCUUAAUAAGUUUAUUUGUUUUUCAUGUUAUACCUA